rnacentral:misc_RNA from 1 species
UAAUAAGUGUUUUAUGGCACUUUUAAAUCCAUAUCCACCUUGUGUGCAAUGUCAGUCGAUCUUCUUCAUGGAGAUCGACCAAACAUCAACCUUUAUUUUUUAACUCUUUGUCUGAAAAAUAUUAUGAAUAUACAAUUCAAAAUA